UGGACGAUCCAGGACGGCAGGGAUGACGGUGGUGAAGGUGCAAGGAAGGCAACUCUACACGGAUGGAUACGCGGAGAUUUUCGGAGUAAAGUAAAACUCUGCGAAGGAGGAGCAAAUUCCUCUCGAUCACGAGACACACGCGCGUGCCCUACAUUUCCUAUCCUAUACGUUGGACGCGGCGCGGCGAUGGUGAACCAUCAAUCACGAGUUUUAUCGGCCUUUCCAUCCUCGAGCCUUCACCGGAAACGGAGCCAUCCUUUUUUGCAUUCGACGCGCGAUACAAUCGCGUCUUGAUGGACUAAAAAUCCUCGGCUCGAAUGUUCGAGCACUGUGAACCCUCCGCCAGUUUUCUGGGAUAAUAAACGCGUGAAAUCUGAAAUUUUCGCCACGUUUAAAACAAACGAAAGAUAGAGAGAGAGAGAGAGAAAAAAGUUCGAUUUCCGUUGUUACACGAUAUAUGUACAAUUUUCGAUCGUGCGUGCGUGUGUGUCAAAGGGAUAGGAAAGUUCGACCUUUCUUUGGAAACGAGUAACUUUUAAUCGAACGAAACCUGAUAUGUAAUCUCCUAUCCCCGUUUCUUUCCCUCUUUGCGUGUCAUUUCUUCCUUCUUUUUUUCCUUUCUUUUUUUUUUUUUUCACUCUGUUGGGCGGCGUCAAAGCGGAACACGCGAAAGGAGAAAAGAGAACGGUGGGCACAAUAGAGAGACAGGUUGUCGUUUUGUUCGUUUCCUUUAUCGUUUAGUAGCCACUGGGUAAUUGUGUUUUUUAUCUACCUGUCAGUUGCAUAUCUACUGGAAAUUUAAUACGUAAAUGAAGGAGGAAGAGAGAAAGAGAGAGAGAGAAAGAAGAGAGGAAGAUAAAUAAAUAAAAUGUACAGUCAGGUUUCUUCAAAUCGUGCGAACGAAGGGGGAGGGGUACGAAGAGUUUCGUUUUUAUUCGUAAAUUGGCCGACUCGCGGAGAGAUCGAUGCCCGCUCGGUUUGCUGAAUCAUUGAUCGGCAGUAACUAUAACGUUCGAAUAAUUUAUGCCGUCGAUGGUUUUUGGAAUCGUGAAAUAUUUAGGGUCUCAUGAUCGUUGCGGUGUAACGAAAUACCCGGCCCAUUUGGUAAACCGCUGUUACAAACGUUUCCGUAUUUCCACGCCGGUGAUCAUCAGGUUCGCCGCCUUCCCCGAUUGUUCCAACGAU